AGAUUACUAGCUUAAUUUGGUAAAGUACUCGUUUUUUAAUCGAUUUAGUCUGGGUUCGAAUCCCAGGUGAUCUA
rfam:Theileria parva strain Muguga apicoplast, complete genome, whole genome shotgun sequence.